AUGGUUGCCAAGAAGUAUAAUAGCUAUGCCAUAAAUGGAUAUGUUUUCCACACGGAAUCAUAUCAUCAGGGUAGACCCAGGCAAAGCUAUGGAGUAGCUUUAGUUGGACAAACUGUGAGCAUUUCUGGACAUACUCAAACUAAGGCAUAUUAUGGUGUUAUUACUGAAAUCUUAGAAAUGACCUAUCAUCGGAAAGGAAACAUUGUGCUUUUGAAAUGUGGUUGGUUUGACAACAGAGUACAAGGUAAAUGGGUGAAGACUGAUAAGUUUGGUGUAACUAGUGUACACAUGGCACACAUUAUCAGCACCGGUGAAAAUCACAUGGAUGAACCUUUCAUUUUAUCAUCGCAAGCAUGUCAAGUUUAUUAUGUUCCUGAUAAACAAAAUAAAGAUUGGUCCGCUGUAAGGGUCUCACCACCGCGUGACCUUUAUGACAUUGAUGAAGUGAGAAAUCAGCAUCUGGAGUAUUUAUUGCAGGAACCGGUUAUUCCUAUAAAUUUAAAUGCAAAUUUUAAGGUUCUUGGUGAUGAUAUCUUGGUUAGAAAUGAUACAACUAAAUCAAAUGAGAAGAGGAAGGGGAAUGUCAAAAGGAGGAAGAGAGGAUGA
rnacentral:rRNA from 1 species